UACGAAGGGGGCUAGCGUUGCUCGGAAUCACUGGGCGUAAAGGGUGCGUAGGCGGGUCUUUAAGUCAGGGGUGAAAUCCUGGAGCUCAACUCCAGAACUGCCUUUGAUACUGAAGAUCUUGAGUUCGGGAGAGGUGAGUGGAACUGCGAGUGUAGAGGUGAAAUUCGUAGAUAUUCGCAAGAACACCAGUGGCGAAGGCGGCUGUCUGGUCCGGUUCUGACGCUGAGGCGCGAAAGCGUGGGGAGCGAACAGG
rnacentral:rRNA from 1 species